rnacentral:rRNA from 1 species
AGAGUUUGAUCAUGGCUCAGGACGAACGCUGGCGGCGUGCUUAAUACAUGCAAGUCGAGCGAGGUUACUGUUUUGGAUCCCUUCGGGGUGAAGAAGCUUUAACCUAGCGGCGGACGGGUGAGUAACGCGUGGGUAACCUACCCCAAAGUCCGGGAUAACAGCGGGAAACCGCUGCUAAUACCGGAUGCCUUUACCUUGGGGCAUCUUGAGGUAAAGAAAGGUAACGCUUUGGGAUGGGCCCGCGUCCCAUUAGCUAGUUGGUGAGGUAACGGCUCACCAAGGCGACGAUGGGUAGCCGGCCUGAGAGGGUGGACGGCCACACUGGGACUGAGACACGGCCCAGACUCCUACGGGAGGCAGCAGUAGGGAAUAUUGCGCAAUGGACGGAAGUCUGACGCAGCGACGCCGCGUGAGCGAUGAAGGUCUUCGGAUCGUAAAGCUCUGUCCUUGGGGAAGAAGGCGAAAGCUUGACGGUACCCAAGAAGAAAGCCCCGGCUAACUACGUGCCAGCAGCCGCGGUAAUACGUAGGGGGCGAGCGUUGUCCGGAAUUACUGGGCGUAAAGGGUGCGUAGGCGGCCCUUUAAGUCGGAUGUGAAAGCCCGCGGCUUAACCGCGGAAUGGCAUUCGAAACUGGAGGGCUUGAGUGUCGGAGAGGGUAGUGGAAUUCCCAGUGUAGCGGUGAAAUGCGUAGAUAUUGGGAGGAACACCAGUGGCGAAGGCGACUACCUGGACGAUAACUGACGCUGAGGCACGAAAGCUAGGGGAGCAAACAGGAUUAGAUACCCUGGUAGUCCUAGCCGUAAACGAUGGGUACUAGGUGUGGGUGGUUUCGAUACCAUCCGUGCCGUANUUAACGCAUUAAGUACCCCGCCUGGGGAGUACGUGCGCAAGCAUGAAACUCAAAGGAAUUGACGG